GCCUGGUUGGCUUAGUCGGUAAAGCAUGUGACCCUUGAUCUUAGGGUUGUGAGUUCAAGCCCCACUUUGGGCC
rnacentral:tRNA from 1 species